GGCUCAGGACGAACGCUGGCGGCGUGCCUCAAUACAUGCAAGUCGAGCGGACAGAAGGGAGCUUGCUCCCGGAUGUUAGCGGCGGACGGGUGAGUAACACGUGGGUAACCUGCCUGUAAGACUGGGAUAACUCCGGGAAACCGGAGCUAAUACCGGAUAGUUCCUUGAACCGCAUGGUUCAAGGAUGAAAGACGGUUUCGGCUGUCACUUACAGAUGGACCCGCGGCGCAUUAGCUAGUUGGUGGGGUAAUGGCUCACCAAGGCGACGAUGCGUAGCCGACCUGAGAGGGUGAUCGGCCACACUGGGACUGAGACACGGCCCAGACUCCUACGGGAGGCAGCAGUAGGGAAUCUUCCGCAAUGGACGAAAGUCUGACGGAGCAACGCCGCGUGAGUGAUGAAGGUUUUCGGAUCGUAAAGCUCUGUUGUUAGGGAAGAACAAGUGCGAGAGUAACUGCUCGCACCUUGACGGUACCUAACCAGAAAGCCACGGCUAACUACGUGCCAGCAGCCGCGGUAAUACGUAGGUGGCAAGCGUUGUCCGGAAUUAUUGGGCGUAAAGGGCUCGCAGGCGGUUUCUUAAGUCUGAUGUGAAAGCCCCCGGCUCAACCGGGGAGGGUCAUUGGAAACUGGGAAACUUGAGUGCAGAAGAGGAGAGUGGAAUUCCACGUGUAGCGGUGAAAUGCGUAGAGAUGUGGAGGAACACCAGUGGCGAAGGCGACUCUCUGGUCUGUAACUGACGCUGAGGAGCGAAAGCGUGGGGAGCGAACAGGAUUAGAUACCCUGGUAGUCCACGCCGUAAACGAUGAGUGCUAAGUGUUAGGGGGUUUCCGCCCCUUAGUGCUGCAGCUAACGCAUUAAGCACUCCGCCUGGGGAGUACGGUCGCAAGACUGAAACUCAAAGGAAUUGACGGGGGCCCGCACAAGCGGUGGAGCAUGUGGUUUAAUUCGAAGCAACGCGAAGAACCUUACCAGGUCUUGACAUCCUCUGACAACCCUAGAGAUAGGGCUUUCCCUUCGGGGACAGAGUGACAGGUGGUGCAUGGUUGUCGUCAGCUCGUGUCGUGAGAUGUUGGGUUAAGUCCCGCAACGAGCGCAACCCUUGAUCUUAGUUGCCAGCAUUUAGUUGGGCACUCUAAGGUGACUGCCGGUGACAAACCGGAGGAAGGUGGGGAUGACGUCAAAUCAUCAUGCCCCUUAUGACCUGGGCUACACACGUGCUACAAUGGACAGAACAAAGGGCUGCGAGACCGCAAGGUUUAGCCAAUCCCAUAAAUCUGUUCUCAGUUCGGAUCGCAGUCUGCAACUCGACUGCGUGAAGCUGGAAUCGCUAGUAAUCGCGGAUCAGCAUGCCGCGGUGAAUACGUU
rnacentral:rRNA from 1 species